UUAAACACUAUGACAAAGCAAAGUAGUACGCUGCUUUUUUUGCUUUAGAGAGGGCGGCCUUGGCUGUAAGCCGUCUGCAAUGGCAUUGUAUGAAUUUCACUUUUGAGUGGCUGCCCUGAACCUACACUAGGGGCAGACGGCUGACACCGUUAAAGGUUACAGGAGUGUUUGCUUCCCGGCAAAAAUUUGGGUGGUACCACGGAGCUUUUUAUGUUUAUGCUUCGCCCCAAGG
rnacentral:ncRNA from 1 species